rnacentral:rRNA from 1 species
CCUACGGGAGGCAGCAGUAGGGGAUAUUGCACAAUGGGCGAAAGCCUGAUGCAGCGACGCCGCGUGAAGGAAGACGGUCUUCGGAUUGUAAACCGCUGUCAUUAGGGAGGAAAAUGACGGUACCCAAAGAGGAAGCUCCGGCUAACUACGUGCCAGCAGCCGCGGUAAUACGUAGGGAGCCAGCGUUAUCCGGAAUUACUGGGUGUAAAGGGUGCGGGGGGGGGAGGGAAAGUAGAAUGUUAAAUGCAGCGGCACAAACGGUGGCUGCUAUCUAAACUGCCGUUCUUGAGGGAAGUAGUGGCAGGUGGAAUUCCUAGUGUAGCGGUGAAAUGCGUAGAUAUUAGGAGGAACACCAGUGGCGAAGGCGGGCUGCUGGGCUUUAACUGACGCUGAGGCUCGAAAGCGUAGGGAGCAAACAGGAUUAGAUACCCCGGUAGUC